CCCCUCUCAGGGUUGCACUUGGAGAGAUUCCAGUACUCUACCAGUAUCAACUAUGGGAGGGAGAGUCGAGCAGAGGCCUACCCACUUCCAUUCCUAGCUUGGCCAGUGGCUAGCGAGUGGAAGGCAAUCUGCUACAUGC
rnacentral:snoRNA from 1 species